AACGAACGCUAGCGGCGUGGCUAAGACAUGCAAGUCGUACGGUACGGUGUAGCAAUACAUCGUAUAGUGGCGGACGGGUGAGUAAGACAUGGGUAACGUACCUUGAACUCAGGGAUAGCGUCGGUACCCGCAAGGGUACCUAGCGAAAGCGACGGUAAUACCUGAUGAAAUCCGCGGGUGGCAUCACCUGCGGAUCAAAGACGGGGACCGCAAGGCCUGUUGGUUUUUGAGCGGCCCANGACCUAUCAGCUAGUUGGCGGGGUAACGGCCCACCAAGGCUGCGACGGGUAGCCGGACUGAGAGGGUUGGCCGGCCACAUCGGGACUGGAGACACUGCCCGGACACCUAUGGGUGGCUGCAGUAACGAAUCUUCCGCAAUGGGCNCAAGCCUGACGGAGCGACGCCGCGU
rnacentral:rRNA from 1 species